rnacentral:rRNA from 1 species
UACAGGGGGGGCAAGCGUUGUUCGGAAUUACUGGGCGUAAAGGGUUUGUAGGUGGCCACUUAAGUCAGACGUGAAAUCCCUCAGCUUAACUGGGGAACUGCGUCUGAUACUGCGUGGCUUGAGUGCAGGAGAGGAACGCGGAAUUCCAGGUGUAGCGGUGAAAUGCGUAGAUAUCUGGAGGAACACCGGUGGCGAAGGCGGCGUUCUGGACCAUAACUGACACUGAGAGACGAAAGCCAGGGGAGCAAACGGG